GAUGAACGCUGGCGGCGUGCCUAAUACAUGCCAGACGAGCGAACAGACGAGGAGCUUGCUCCUCUGACGUUAGCGGCGGACGGGUGAGUAACACGUGGAUAACCUACCUAUAAGACUGGGAUAACUUCGGGAAACCGGAGCUAAUACCGGAUAAUAUAUUGAACCGCAUGGUUCAAUAGUGAAAGACGGUUUUGCUGUCACUUAUAGAUGGAUCCGCGCCGCAUUAGCUAGUUGGUAAGGUAACGGCUUACCAAGGCGACGAUGCGUAGCCGACCUGAGAGGGUGAUCGGCCACACUGGAACUGAGACACGGUCCAGACUCCUACGGGAGGCAGCAGUAGGGAAUCUUCCGCAAUGGGCGAAAGCCUGACGGAGCAACGCCGUGUGAGUGAUGAAGGUCUUCGGAUCGUAAAACUCUGUUAUUAGGGAAGAACAAAUGUGUAAGUAACUAUGCACGUCUUGACGGUACCUAAUCAGAAAGCCACGGCUAACUACGUG
rnacentral:rRNA from 1 species